rnacentral:rRNA from 1 species
GGUGAGUAACACGUGGAUAACCUACCUAUAAGACUGGGAUAACUUCGGGAAACCGGAGCUAAUACCGGAUAAUAUAUUGAACCGCAUGGUUCAAAGUGAGAAGCGUUUGCUGUCAUUUAUAGAUGGAUCCGCGCCGCAUUAGCUAGUUGGUAAGGUAACGGCUUACCAAGGCGACGAUGCGUAGCCGACCUGAGAGGGUGAUCGGCCACACUGGAACUGAGACACGGUCCAG